UACAGAGGGGGCAAGCGUUAUUCGGAAUUAUUGGGCGUAAAGGGCGCGUAGGCGGCCUGGCAAGUGACGGGUGAAAGCCCUCGGCUCAACCGAGGAACUGCCUGUCAUACUGCCGGGCUUGAGUCCGGGAGAGGUGAGUGGAAUUCCCAGUGUAGCGGUGAAAUGCGUAGAUAUCGGGAGGAACACCAGUGGCGAAGGCGACUACCUGGCCUGUUUCUUGACGCUGAGGCGCGAAAGCUAGGGGAGCAAACGGG
rnacentral:rRNA from 1 species